CGUAGGGUGCAAGCGUUGUCCGGAAUUAUUGGGCGUAAAGAGCUCGUAGGCGGUUUGUCGCGUCUGCUGUGAAAUCCCGAGGCUCAACCUCGGGCUUGCAGUGGGUACGGGCAGACUAGAGUGCGGUAGGGAGAUUGGAAUUCCUGGUGUAGCGGUGGAAUGCGCAGAUAUCAGGAGGAACACCGAUGGCGAAGGCAGAUCUCUGGGCCGUAACUGACGCUGAGGAGCGAAAGCAUGGGGAGCGAACAGGAUU
rnacentral:rRNA from 1 species